UGGGGAAUAUUGCACAAUGGACGGAAGUUUGAUGCAGCGACGCCGCGUGGAGGGUGUAGGCCUUCGGGUUGUGAACUCCUUUUUCUCGAGAAAAAGGCACAGUUUUGGCUGUGUUGAUGGUAGUGGGGGAAGAAGCGCCGGCUAACUACGUGCCAGCAGCCGCGGUAAUACGUAGGGCGCGAGCGUUGUCCGGAUUUAUUGGGCGUAAAGAGCUCGUAGGUGGUUCGUCGCGUCUGUCGUGAAAGCCAGCAGCUUAACUGUUGGUCUGCGGUGGGUACGGGCGGGCUUGAGUGCGGUAGGGGUGACUGGAAUUCCUGGUGUAGCGGUGGAAUGCGCAGAUAUCAGGAGGAACACCGAUGGCGAAGGCAGGUCACUGGGCCGUUACUGACACUGAGGAGCGAAAGCGUGGGGAGCGAACAGG
rnacentral:rRNA from 1 species